rnacentral:rRNA from 1 species
GACGAACGCUGGCGGCGUGCUUAACACAUGCAAGUCGAACGGAAAGGCCCUGCUUUUGUGGGGUGCUCGAUUGGCGAACGGGUGAGUAACACGUGAGUAACCUGCCCUUGACUUUGGGAUAACUUCAGGAAACUGGGGCUAAUACCGGAUAGGAGCUCCUGCUGCAUGGUGGGGGUUGGAAAGUUUCGGCGGUUGGGGAUGGACUCGCGGCUUAUCGGCUUGUUGGGGGGGUAGUGGCUUACCAAGGCUUUGACGGGUAGCCGGCCUGGGAGGGGUACCGGCCACAUUGGGACUGAGAGACGGACCAGACUGCUACGGGCGGCAGCAGUGGGAAAUCUUGCACAAUGGGCGGAAGCCUGAUGCAGCAACGCCGCGUGCGGGAUGACGGCCUUCGGGUUGUAAACCGCUUUCGCCUGUGACAAAGCGUGAGUGACGGUAAUGGGUAAAGAAGCAACGGCUAACUACGUG